rnacentral:rRNA from 1 species
GACGAACGCUGGCGGCGUGCUUAACACAUGCAAGUCGAACGGAAAGGCCCUGCUUUUGUGGGGUGCUCGAGUGGCGAACGGGUGAGUAACACGUGAGUAACCUGCCCUUGACUUUGGGAUAACUUCAGGAAACUGGGGCUAAUACCGCAUAGGAGCUCCUGCUGCAUGGUGGGGGUUGGAAAGUUUCGGCGGUUGGGGCUGGACUCGCGGCUUAUCAGCUUGUUGGUGGGGUAGUGGCUUACCAAGGCUUUGACGGGUAGCCGGCCUGAGAGGGUGACCGGCGACAUUGGGACUGAGAUACGGCCCAGACUCCUACGGGAGGCAGCAGUGGGGAAUAUUGCACAAUGGGCGGAAGCCUGAUGCAGAAACGCCGCGUGCGGGAUGACGGCCUUCGGGUUGUAAACCGCUUUCGCCUGUGACGAAGCGUGAGUGACGGUAAUGGGUAAAGAAGCACCGGCUAACUACGUG